rnacentral:rRNA from 1 species
GAUGAACGCUGGCGGCGUGCCUAAUACAUGCAAGUCGAGCGAACAGACGAGGAGCUUGCUCCUCUGACGUUAGCGGCGGACGGGUGAGUAACACGUGGAUAACCUACCUAUAAGACUGGGAUAACUUCGGGAAACCGGAGCUAAUACCGGAUAAUAUAUUGAACCGCAUGGUUCAAUAGUGAAAUACGGUUUUGCUGUCACUUAUAGAUGGAUCCGCGCCGCAUUAGCUAGUUGGUAAGGUAACGGCUUACCAAGGCGACGAUGCGUAGCCGACCGGAGAGGGUGAUCGGCCACCCUGGAACGGAGACAGGGUCAAGACUCCUACGGGAGGCAGCAGUAGGGAAUCUUCCGCAAUGGGCGAAAGCCUGACGGAGCAACGCCGCGUGAGUGAUGAAGGUCUUCGGAUCGUAAAACUCUGUUAUUAGGGAAGAACAAAUGUGUAAGUAACUAUGCACGUCUUGACGGUACCUAAUCAGAAAGCCACGGCUAACUACGUG